rnacentral:rRNA from 1 species
UUAGAGGAAGUAAAAGUCGUAACAAGGUUUCCGUAGGUGAACCUGCGGAAGGAUCAUUAUCGUAUUAACGGAGGUGCCGGUUGGCUGUCGCUGACUUUUUGGUCGUGCACGCCCCCGGUGCUCUCUCUCAAUCCAUCUCACCCCUUUGUGCAUCACCGCGUGGGCUUCCUCCCUUUCGAGGGGGGUGGUUUGCGUUUUUACACAAACACACCGCAUGCGUAGAAUGUCUUACUUUUUUGCGAUAACACGCAAUCAAUACAACUUUCAACAACGGAUCUCUUGGCUCUCGCAUCGAUGAAGAACGCAGCGAAAUGCGAUACGUAAUGUGAAUUGCAGAAUUCAGUGAAUCAUCGAAUCUUUGAACGCACCUUGCGCCCCUUGGCAUUCCGAGGGGCACACCCGUUUGAGUGUCGUGAACAUCCUUCAACCUUCUUGGUUUUUCGACCAAGGAAGGCUUGGACUUUGGGGGUCUUUCAUUGCUGGCUUGAAGCCAGCUCCUCCUAAAUGGAUUAGUGGGGUCUGCUUUGCCGAUCCUUGACGUGAUAAGAUGUUUCUACGUCUUGGGUUUUCGCACUGUCGAUUAGGACCUCGCUUCUAACCGUCUCACAUCUGAGACAGUGUUUUAUGAACCUUGACCUCAAAUCGGGUGAGACUACCCGCUGAACUUAAGCAUAUCAAUAAGCGGAGGAA